rnacentral:lncRNA from 1 species
GAGCAGUAGCAUCGUGGCUAGAGCAAUGUUUCUUAACAUAGUUGUUAACGAAAGGGUUACGGAACGAUCUGUUAACCGUAUGUUUACAAUUUUCAUUUAAUGUUUUGAUCAUGGCGCAACAUUCAGAAUCAACGGUUGGUUUUUCGGUUAACGACUUCAUCAAACAUUUUGUUACCAUUUUGUAACUGGAAAAACACUCCUUUAAUUCCUGAUUUAGGCUGUGUUUGUGGAUAGCCGAGGGCGCGUGAGCGUAACCCGACCAUUGGAGCUCUUCGUCAUCUGUUUAGGUCAAGAAAUUGAGAUGUGACACAGCUUGAAAAGAGAACCAUAGCAACAAAAAUUGUGAGACUCUUCAUUUUCUUUUGAUUCCUUGUCGGUGUUAAAUUGAGAAAAAG